AGCAAGGUCCUGCCACGCUGGUUUAGGAUUCUCGGAAUCAAAGCCAAGCAGGCCGUAAUAGGAGAAAUCUCUGAUCGGAAACGUGAAGAAGUGACUUACCAUCUGUAUUUAGAAUCUUAUGUAGAUUACUAAAAUAAUGCUUGGAUUACUGCGAAAGCGAAAGCAUUUACCAAGGAUGUUUUCAUUAAUCAAGAACGAAAGUUAGGGGAUCGAAGAUGAUUAGAUACCAUCGUAGUCUUAACCAUAAACUGUAAGCCCCGAGCGACUUGCCG
rnacentral:ncRNA from 1 species